rnacentral:rRNA from 1 species
GACAGAGGGUGCAAACGUUGUUCGGGAUCACUGGGCGUAAAGCGUGCGUAGGCGGUCUUGUAAGUCGGAUGUGAAAGCCCCGGGCUCAACCUGGGAAGUGCACUCGAUACUGCGAGACUUGAGUACUGGAGAGGUUGGUGGAAUUCUCGGUGUAGAGGUGAAAUUCGUAGAUAUCGGGAAGAACAUCGGUGGCGAAGGCGGCCAACUGGACAGAUACUGACGCUGAGGCGCGAAAGCGUGGGGAGCAAACAGG